GCCUAACACAUGCAAGUCGAACGAGAAUCGCUUGAACAGAGGCUUUGGCCAACGGGAUGGUGAGGAAAGUGGCGAACGGGUGAGUAACGCGUGAGGAACCUGCCUCUCAGUGGGGGAAAACAGUUGGAAACGACUGCUAAUACCGCAUAAUGUUAUUUGAGGGCAUCCUCGAAUAACCAAAGAUUUAUUGCUGAAAGAUGGUCUCGCGUCUGAUUAGCUAGAUGGCGGGGUAACGGCCCACCAUGGCGACGAUCAGUAGCCGGUCUGAGAGGAUGAACGGCCACAUUGGGACUGAGAUACGGCCCAGACUCCUACGGGAGGCAGCAGUGGGGAAUAUUGGGCAAUGGGGGAAACCCUGACCCAGCAACGCCGCGUGAAGGAAGAAGGCCUUCGGGUUGUAAACUUCUUUUACCAGGGACGAACAAAUGACGGUACCUGGAGAAAAAGCAACGGCUAACUACGUGCCAGCCGCCGCAGUAAGAC
rnacentral:rRNA from 1 species